CAUUAGAUGGCUGAAAAUCAAGCAACGGUCUCUUAAACCGAUUCAUAGUAAAUUUACUUCUAAUGA
rnacentral:tRNA from 1 species